rnacentral:rRNA from 1 species
AUUGAACGCUGGCGGCAUGCUUUACACAUGCAAGUCGAACGGUAACAGGCCUUCGGGUGCUGACGAGUGGCGAACGGGUGAGUAAUGCAUCUGAACGUACCCAGAGGUGGGGGAUAACGCAGCGAAAGUUGUGCUAAUACCGCACUUGAUCUGAGGAUCAAAGCGGGGGACCGAGCAGCAAUGUUUCGCCUCGCGCUUUUGGAGCGGCCGAUGACGGAUUAGCUAGUUGGUGGGGUAAAGGCCUACCAAGGCGCCGAUCCGUAGCUGGUCUGAGAGGACGACCGGCCACACGGGGACUGAGACAAGGCCCAGACACCGGAGGGAGGCAGCAGUGGGGAAUUUUGGACAAUGGGCGCAAGCCUGAUCCAGCAAUGCCGCGUGCGGGAAGAAGGCCUUCGGGUUGUGAACCGCGUUUGGCAGGAGCGAAACGGUGUCCGCUAAUACCGAGCGCUAAUGACGGUACCUGCAGAAUAAGCACCGGCUAACUACGUG